rnacentral:rRNA from 1 species
GUGUUGGUGACUGAGGGCAUUNGUUAAGUUGUCCGUUCGCGGAUUGGCUGAUGUGUGCUCUUUGACUUGCUGACGAUGCGCCGCAUUUAUUCUCAUCAUCGGGUUGCANGUGACUGAGAUUGGUAGUUUAGGUGCUGGGGAUCUGCGAAGCCUUGUUGUUUCGAGUUCUGGUUUCCAACUACUACUGCGGUCAUUUCACUUUAAUGAGCAGGCGUUUAGGCGCGGUCAAUGGUUUGUNCGNGUUGNGUGCGUGUGAUGNGUGGACGNGCAACCGUAACAC